rnacentral:rRNA from 1 species
GAUGAACGCUGGCGGCGUGCUUAACACAUGCAAGUCGAACGGGAGACCUUUUAUUGAAGCUUCGGCAGAUUUAGCUGGUUUCUAGUGGCGGACGGGUGAGUAACGCGUGGGUAACCUGCCUUAUACAGGGGGAUAACAGUCAGAAAUGGCUGCUAAUACCGCAUAAGCGCACAGAGCUGCAUGGCUCAGUGUGAAAAACUCCGGUGGUAUAAGAUGGACCCGCGUUGGAUUAGCUGGUUGGUGGGGUAACGGCCCACCAAGGCGACGAUCCAUAGCCGGCCUGAGAGGGUGAACGGCCACAUUGGGACUGAGACACGGCCCAGACUCCUACGGGAGGCAGCAGUGGGGAAUAUUGCACAAUGGGGGAAACCCUGAUGCAGCGACGCCGCGUGAAGGAAGAAGUAUCUCGGUAUGUAAACUUCUAUCAGCAGGGAAGAUAAUGACGGUACCUGACUAAGAAGCCCCGGCUAACUACGUG